UCCUGGUUAACCCAGGCAGUCUCACUAGAGUUCCCACCAUUACGUGUUGGCAACUAGUGAUAAGGGUUGCGCUCGUUGCUGGACUUAACCAAACACCUCACGGCACGAGCUGACGACAGCCAUGCAGCACCUGUGUAGCGGUCCCGAAGGAAGACGCUGUUUCCAGCGCUGUCCACUACAUGUCAAGCCUGGGUAAGGUUCUUCGCGUUGCAUCGAAUUAAACCACAUGCUCCACUGCUUGUGCGGGUCCCCGUCAAUUCUUUUGAGUUUCACCCUUGCGAGCGUACUCCCCAGGCGGUAUACUUAUCGCGUUAGCUACGGCACAACCGGGGUUGAUUCCAGUUACACCAAGUAUACAUCGUUUAAGGCUAGGACUAC
rnacentral:misc_RNA from 1 species